ACUGGAAGAUACUUUUUAAUUUUAAAUUCUUAAAUUUUGAAAUAUUUAUAAAUUGACAGGCAGUUUCAAAGAUAGUAUAGAGAAGUCUCAGGUACCUUUUAUCCAGUUUCACUCAAUGGUUACAUAUUCCAAUACUAUGUUAUAAUAUUGGAACCAGGAAACUGACAUGGGUACAAUAUCUUUAUACAGUUCUCUACCAUUUUAUUAUAUGCAUAGAUUGGUGUAAAUAUCAGCUACCAGUGUGAUCAAGAUACAGAAUUGUUCAAUCAUCACAAAGAUCUCCAUGGGGCUACCCGUUUAUUGUCACACCCACCUCACUCACCUGCCACCACUAUCCCUGCCAUACCUAACCCCUGGAAACCACUAAUUUGUUCUCCAUCCUAUAAUUUUGUCAUUUAGAGAUUUUUAUAAAUAGAAGCAUACACUAUUUGGCCUUUUGAGAGUGGCUUUUUUUUUUUCUUGAGACAGAGUCUUACACUAUCGCCCAGGCUGGAGUGUAGUGGCAUGAUCUCAGCUCACGGCAACCUCUGCCGCCCAGGUUCAAGCAAUUCUCCUGCCUCAGCCUCCCAAGUAGCUGGGAUUACAGGCAUGAGCCACCACACCCGGCCUAGAUUCACUUUGAUUCCACUCCCACCCUGCUUCCUUCUCCAUAGACAACCUAUUAAAAGUCUAUCCUCUUAUGUGCAUGUGUUCUAGCAAAAUAUACAUUGCUGGGUCAUGUGAAUGUGAUUUUAUUUUGCAAAUGAUAUUGCUACAUAUUGUAUUUUGUUUUUUCCUGUUCUCCUAUUUCAUAUCCAUCUACACUGCUGGCAUACAUCUAAUUUUGAUGGAAUUGAUUUCAUCUGUUUUUUUUAAGCCUUAAAGCUUGUGUUUUUGAAAUCUGUUAAAAACCUUUCCUACCCCCAAUCACAGAGAUCGUCUCCUGAAUUUUCUUCUAUACUUUGUAAUUUAAUUUCUCAUUUUGGAAUUUAAUCCAUCUAGUGACCUGAUGUGGAGAUCCAGUUUUCUUUCCCACCAUAAUAUGAUCUAGUCAUUCUGAUAUUGUCCACACACAUCCAGGCUUCCUCACUUUAUUUGUAGCGUCUCUUUCAUUAUAUAAGUGGCCACAUGUACACUUGUGUAUCUCCAAGAUAGGUCCUUUCAGAGUGACUCUCCCAAGGUCACUCAGUCUGUAGGCAGCUUAACUGAGAUUAGAUGCUCUCCUGCCCAUCUGAUCACAUUGCUCUCC
rnacentral:lncRNA from 1 species